UACGUAGGUGACAAGCGUUGUCCGGAUUUACUGGGCGUAAAGAGCGCGCAGGCGGUCGAUCAAGUCGAGUGUGAAAGCCCCCGGCUCAACUGGGGAGGGUCAUUCGAUACUGAUCGACUCGAAGGCAGGAGAGGGUAGUGGAAUUCCCGGUGUAGUGGUGAAAUGCGUAGAUAUCUGGAGGAACACCGGUGGCGAAGGCGCCCACCUGGCCUGCUACUGACGCUGAAGCUCGAAAGCUAGGGGAGCAAACGGG
rnacentral:rRNA from 1 species